UACGUAGGGGGCAAGGCGUUGUCCGGAUUUAUUGGGCGUAAAGAGCGUGUAGGCGGUUUGGUAGGUCCGCUGUGAAAACUCGAGCUCAACCUCGAGACGCCGGUGGAAACCAUCAGACUAGAGUCCGGAAGAGGAGAGUGGAAUUCCCGGUGUAGCGGUGAAAUGCGCAGAUAUCGGGAAGAACACCCGUGGCGAAGGCGGCUCUCUGGGACGGUACUGACGCUGAGACGCGAAAGCGUGGGGAGCGAACAGG
rnacentral:rRNA from 1 species